rnacentral:rRNA from 1 species
CCUACGGGAGGCAGCAGUCGAGAAUCAUUCACAAUGGGGGAAACCCUGAUGGUGCGACGCCGCGUGGGGGAAUGAAGGUCUUCGGAUUUUAAACCCCUGUCAUGUGGGAGCAAAUUAACAAGAUAGUACCACAAGAGGAAGAGACGGCUAAUGCUGUGCCAGCAGCUGCGGUAAUACGGAGGUCUCAAGCGUUGUUCGGAUUCACUGGGCGUAAAGCGUGCGUAGGCCGUUUCGUAAGUCGUGUGUGAAAGGCGCGGGCUCAACCCGCGGACGGCACAUGAUACUGCGAGACUAGAGUAAUGGAGGGGGAAGUGGAAUUCUCGGUGUAGCAGUGAAAUGCGUAGAUAUCGAGAGGAACACUCGUGGCGAAGGCGGGUUCCUGGACAUUAACUGACGCUGAGGCACGAAGGCCAGGGGAGCGAAAGGGAUUAGAUACCCUGGUAGUC